rnacentral:rRNA from 1 species
UACGGAGGGUGCAAGCGUUAUCCGGAUUCACUGGGUUUAAAGGGUGCGUAGGAGGGCAGGUAAGUCAGCGGUGAAAUCUCUGGGCUUAACCCGGAAACUGCCAUUGAUACUAUCUGUCUUGAAUGCGGUGGAGGUGAGCGGAAUAUGUCAUGUAGCGGUGAAAUGCUUAGAUAUGACAUAGAACACCAAUUGCGUAGGCAGCUUACUACACGAUCAUUGACGCUGAGGCACGAAAGCGUGGGGAGCAAACAGG